rnacentral:lncRNA from 1 species
AUUUCAGCACUUACACUGUUUAGUACAUAGUGUUAAAUAGAACACAGACUUUAUAUAAUUAAAUUUUAUAUUUAAAUUUAUUGAGAGUAGUAACAAGUUAAUGGACUUUUAAAAAUAAUACAUUUCUAUGUGUCUUUCAAAACACUACUUGUCAUUAAAAAACAAAGUAUCCCUUCUACUGUAGUGUACUGAGCACACACUUAUAUUCAGUCUGUCUUGGUUCUUGGAAGAUUAUAGUGAAUCUUUGUCUGGUAUUUCAAUUCAGUGGAGCAGAGGUUUUGUUUGUGGUUAAUCAACACAGCUAUGAAAUGAAGUGAGGUUACAGACUUCCUGUUCAUGCAAAGUGAAGAAAUACACCAGCUGGAAAUGUAGAUAUUCUUGCUGAUGACUGCAAAAACACCCUUCAGGUUUUUAGGGGACUAGGUGUCCUCAAACACCUCUCUGGCAUUUGCAGACAAACAAUCCGCAGUAACUUCUAACCUACAAGUGACUCUGCCUUUUAAGAAGGAUAAUGUGUUAGCAGUAUUGAGUUUUGGAGUUGAUGAGAUGCUUCUGACUUAGCUAGUUUAGUCGUUCUAUUUAUCAAAGAUGCAGUAUUAAGAAGCUUUUGCAAUUCUUGAAGGACUUUACUCUUGAGCCUUGCUAUAUCUUGCUAUAUCCAUGUCUAGUCUUGGGUGUAUACGAUUAUUGAGUAAAUAAUUCCAAUAAAGGCUGUGCCGAUCG